rnacentral:rRNA from 1 species
GACGAACGCUGGCGGCGUGCCUAAUACAUGCAAGUCGAGCGCAGGAAGCCGACGGAACCCUUCGGGGGGAAGUCGACGGAAUGAGCGGCGGACGGGUGAGUAACACGUAAAGAACCUGCCCUCAGGUCUGGGAUAACCACGAGAAAUCGGGGCGAAUACCGGACGGGUCAUCGGACCGCAUGGUCCGAGGAUGAAAGGUGCCCAGGCGUCGCCGGGGGAUGGCUUUGCGGUGCAUUAGCUAGUUGGUGGGGUAAUGGCCCACCAAGGCGACGAUGCAUAGCCGACCUGAGAGGGUGAUCGGCCACACUGGGACUGAGGCACGGCCCAGACUCCUACGGGAGGCAGCAGUAGGGAAUCUUCCACAAUGGACGAAAGUCUGAUGGAGCAACGCCGCGUGAACGAUGAAGGCCUUCGGGUCGUAAAGUUCUGUUGUAAGGGAAGAACAAGUGCCGCAGGCAAUGGCGGCACCUUGACGGUACCUUGCGAGAAAGCCACGGCUAACUACGUGCCAGCCGCCGCAGUAACAC